rnacentral:misc_RNA from 1 species
UUUCCGUAGGUGAACCUGCGGAAGGAUCAUUACUGAGUGAGGGCCCUCUGGGUCCAACCUCCCACCCGUGUUUAUUAUACCUUGUUGCUUCGGUGGGCCCGCCUCACGGCCGCCGGGGGGCAUCUGCCCCCGGGCCCGCGCCCACCGAAGACACCUAGAACUCUGUAUGAAGAUUGCAGUCUGAGCAAAAACUAAAUAAGUUAAAACUUUCAACAACGGAUCUCUUGGUUCCG